rnacentral:rRNA from 1 species
GAUCCUGGCUCAGAAUCAACGCUGGCGGCGUGCCUCAGACAUGCAAGUCGAACGAUUAAAGCCCUCUUCGGAGGGUGCAUAAAGUGGCGCACGGGUGAGUAACACGUAAGUAAUCUACCUUCGAGUGGGGAAUAACGUUCGGAAACGAACGCUAAUACCGCAUAAUGCAGCGGCAUCGCAAGAUGACAGUUGUUAAAGAUUUAUCGCUUGAAGAGGAGCUUGCGGCAGAUUAGCUAGUUGGUAAGGUAACGGCUUACCAAGGCGACGAUCUGUAUCCGGUCUAAGAGGACGGUCGGACACACUGACACUGAAUAACGGGUCAGACUCCUACGGGAGGCAGCAGUCGGGAAUUUUGGGCAAUGGGCGAAAGCCUGACCCAGCAACGCCGCGUGAAGGAUGAAGUUUUUCGGAAUGUAAACUUCGUAAGAAUAGGAAGAAUAAAUGACGGUACUAUUUGUAAGGUCCGGCUAACUACGUGCCAGCAGCCGCGGUAAUACGUAGGGACCAAGCGUUGUUCGGAUUUACUGGGCGUAAAGGGCGCGUAGGCGGCAAUUCAAGUCAGCUGUGAAAUCUCCGGGCUUAACUCGGAACGGUCAGCUGAUACUGCUUUGCUAGAGUGCAGAAGGGGCAAUCGGAAUUCUUGGUGUAGCGGUGAAAUGCGUAGAUAUCAAGAGGAACACCUGAGGUGAA